UUGGUUAAGUUAGAAAGGGCGCACGGUGGAUGCCUUGGCACUAGGAGCCGAAGAAGGACGGGACUAACACCGAUAUGCUUUGGGGAGCUGUACGUAAGCGUUGAUCCAGAGAUUUCCGAAUGGGGGAACCCACUAUCUUUAGUCGGAUAGUAUCCUUACGUGAAUACAUAGCGUGAGGAAGGCAGACCCAGGGAACUGAAACAUCUAAGUACCUGGAGGAAGAGAAAGAAAAAUCGAUUUCCUGAGUAGCGGCGAGCGAAACGGAAAGAGCCCAAACCAAGAAGCUUGCUUCUUGGGGUUGUAGGACACUCUAUACGGAGUUACAAAAGAAAGUUAUAAAUGAAGCGGUCUGGAAAGGCCCGCCAAAGACGGUAACAGCCCGGUAGUUGAAAUGGCUUUCCCUCCAGAGUGGAUCCUGAGUACGGCGGAACACGUGAAAUUCCGUCGGAAUCCGGGAGGACCAUCUCCCAAGGCUAAAUACUCCCUAGUGACCGAUAGUGAACCAGUACCGUGAGGGAAAGGUGAAAAGCACCCCGGAAGGGGAGUGAAACAGUUCCUGAAACCGUGUGCCUACAAGUAGUUAGAGCCCGUUAAUGGGUGAUAGCGUGCCUUUUGUAGAAUGAACCGGCGAGUUACGAUUUGUUGCAAGGUUAAGCGGAAAAAGCGGAGCCGUAGCGAAAGCGAGUCUGAAUAGGGCGCAUAAGUAACAGGUCGUAGACCCGAAACCAGGUGAUCUACCCAUGUCCAGGAUGAAGGUAAGGUAAUACUUACUGGAGGUCCGAACCCACGCACGUUGAAAAGUGCGGGGAUGAGGUGUGGGUAGCGGAGAAAUUCCAAUCGAACUUGGAGAUAGCUGGUUCUCUCCGAAAUAGCUUUAGGGCUAGCCUCGAGGUAAAGAGUCAUGGAGGUAGAGCACUGUUUGGACUAGGGGCCCUUCUCGGGUUACCGAAUUCAGAUAAACUCCGAAUGCCAUGUACUUAUACUCGGGAGUCAGACUGCGAGUGAUAAGAUCCGUAGUCGAAAGGGAAACAGCCCAGACCACCAGUUAAGGUCCCCAAAUAUAUGUUAAGUGGAAAAGGAUGUGGGGUUGCUUAGACAACCAGGAUGUUGGCUUAGAAGCAGCCACCAUUGAAAGAGUGCGUAAUAGCUCACUGGUCGAGUGACCCCGCGCCGAAAAUGUACCGGGGCUAAACAUAUUACCGAAACUGUGGAUGAACCUCUUUAGAGGUUCGUGGUAGGAGAGCGUUCUAAGGGCGGUGAAGUCAGACCGGAAGGACUGGUGGAGCGCUUAGAAGUGAGAAUGCCGGUAUGAGUAGCGAAAGAAGGGUGAGAAUCCCUUCCACCGAAUAUCUAAGGUUUCCUGAGGAAGGCUCGUCCGCUCAGGGUUAGUCGGGACCUAAGCCGAGGCCGAUAGGCGUAGGCGAUGGACAACAGGUAGAGAUUCCUGUACCAGUGCUAAUUGUUUAACCGAUGGGGUG
rnacentral:rRNA from 1 species